rnacentral:lncRNA from 12 species
AUGGAAAGGCAUAGCAAGACAAUGUCUAAAUAUUCUUUUUCAAUUGUUUCUACGGGGAUUGGCUGGCAAUGGUCAAGAUUACUAGGGAGUGGAGGAGACCCGGGGCUGGUAGAGGGGGCCGGAUUUGUUGUUGUUCUCUGCCGGAUAUCUAUCGCCAGUGUUCGGCGUGUGCAAUGGUGCGCAUUUAAACUCUGGAUCAAUGAGUGGCCUUUGGAACAGAAUGGGGAAAAAGAGAGAGCCCAGAUCUCAGUAAUACAAGGCACCUUCCAGAACCGUGUGAUUUCUUAGGUGCAGAAAAAAAAAAAAAAAGAAAAGAAAAAGAAAAGAAAAAGAAAAAGAAAAAAAAGAAACAGACACCACGAAAUUCAUUUCUACCCAUUCUGGCCUAAUUAAGAAAGCAUUACAGCACAACAUGUCCUCUUGGGACAAAACAUUUAAUUCCCCCCUCGCCCCCACCCCGUGCAUUCUGUUUAUAAUCUGAAUGGGGAAAGAGCGCGAUUAACUUUGUAAAUAAAGAUCUAUGCUUUUACA